GAAUAUUUGACAAUGGGGGGACCCCUUAUCCAGCCAUGCCGCGUGUGUGAAGACGGCCUUUUGGUUGUCAAGCACUUUAAGCGAGGAAGAGGCUACUCUAGUUAAUACCUAGGGAUAGUGGCCGUUACUCGCAGAAUAAGCCCCGGCUAACUCUGUGCCAGCAGCCGAGGUAAUACAGAGGGUGCAAGCGUUAAUCGGAUUUACGGGGCGUAAAGCGAACGUAGGUGGCCAAUUAAGUCAAAUGUGAAAUCCCCGAGAUUAACGUGGGAAUUGCAUUCGAUACUGGUUGGCUAGAGGAUGGGAGAGGAUGGUAGAAUGCCAGGUGUAGCGGUGAAAUGAGUAGAGAUCUGGAGGAAUACCGAUGGCGAAGGCAGCCAUCUGGCCUAAUACUGACACUGAGGUGCGAAAGCAUGGGGAGCAAACA
rnacentral:rRNA from 1 species